UUACCUUAUAAUGAUACAGAAAUGAAUAAAUAAUAGUAAAUGUUUUAUUGUGCUUUUGUUUACAUUUUUUAAUUGUGCUUUUGUUUAAAUGUUUUAACAUCUACCAUCAAAGUUGAGAAACAUAGAAAAUUGAACAACUAAUGGAACACAUUUCCAUCUUCCAUUGGUUGUUUUGUUGUGAACUUGUUGUGCUUUAACCCUCAUAUAUGAAUUCUCGAUACUACAUAUUGGGAUGGCACAAAUAUUCAAGUAUUACGAGCUUCUUCAAAUAUAUGAAGUUCUAUUUGGUUUUGGGCACAUGAUAUUAUAUACAUUUUAAAAGAUAAAAUUCUCCGAUAGUGAUUAUGGGAUAUUUAUUUUUUGGAUGUAAAUUCUAGACAAAAUUUUUUUGUUAUGAUGGUUGUAAUUGAUAUUAUACUUAUAAAUUAAAUUUAAAUGAAUAUAUAUUAUUUUUCUUGAA